rnacentral:rRNA from 1 species
GAUGAACGCUGGCGGCGUGCUUAACACAUGCAAGUCGAACGAAGCACUUUAUUUGAUUUCCUUCGGGACUGAUUAUUUUGUGACUGAGUGGCGGACGGGUGAGUAACGCGUGGGUAACCUGCCUUGUACAGGGGGAUAACAGUUGGAAACGGCUGCUAAUACCGCAUAAGCGCACGGCAUCGCAUGAUGCAGUGUGAAAAACUCCGGUGGUAUAAGAUGGACCCGCGUUGGAUUAGCUAGUUGGUGAGGAAACGGCCCACCAAGGCGACGAUCCAUAGCCGACCGGAGGGGGGGACCGGCCAAAUGGGGACGGGACCAGGCCCCAAACCCCCACGGGGGGCAGCAGUGGGGAAAUUGGCAAAAGGGGGGAAAGCCUGAGGAAGCGACGCCGGGGGAGGAAAAAAGUAUUUCGGUAUGAAAAGCUUUAUCAGCAGGGAAGAUAAUGACGGUACCUGACUAAGAAGCACCGGCUAAAUACGU